rnacentral:rRNA from 1 species
GGGGAAUAUUGGACAAUGGGCGAAAGCCUGAUCCAGCCAUGCCGCGUGGGUGAAGAAGGCCUUCGGGUUGUAAAGCCCUUUUGUUGGGAAAGAAAACUUUCCGGUUAAUACCCGGAGAGAAUGACGGUACCCAAAGAAUAAGCACCGGCUAACUUCGUGCCAGCAGCCGCGGUAAUACGAAGGGUGCAAGCGUUACUCGGAAUUACUGGGCGUAAAGGGUGCGUAGGUGGUUCGUUAAGUCUGAUGUGAAAGCCCUGGGCUCAACCUGGGAAUUGCAUUGGAUACUGGCGGGCUAGAGUGCGGUAGAGGGUAGUGGAAUUCCCGGUGUAGCAGUGAAAUGCGUAGAUAUCGGGAGGAACAUCCGUGGCGAAGGCGACUGCCUGGACCAGCACUGACACUGAGGCACGAAAGCGUGGGGAGCAAAC